rnacentral:rRNA from 1 species
CCUACGGGUGGCAGCAGUGGGGAAUAUUGCGCAAUGGGCGAAAGCCUGACGCAGCGACGCCGCGUGAGGGAUGAAGGUCUUCGGAUCGUAAACCUCUGUCAGCAGGGAAGAACGGUCACUGUGCUAAUCAGCAGUGAAUUGACGGUAUCUGCAAAGGAAGCAUCGGCUAAUUCCGUGCCAGCAGCUGCGGUAAUACGGAGGGUGCGAGCGUUAAUCGGAUUUACUGGGCGUAAAGCGCUCGUAGGCGGUAUGCCAAGUCAAGGGUGAAAUCCCCGCGCUAAACGUGGGAACUGCCUUUGAACCUGGCAAACUGAGGUGUGUGAGAGGAUGGUGAAAGUCCAGGUGUAGGGGUGAAAUCCGUAGAUAUCGGAGGAACAUCGGUGGCGAAGGCGGCUAUCUGGCGCAUAACUGACGCUGAGGAGCGAAGGCGUGGGUAGCGAACAGGAUUAGAUACCCGAGUAGUC